GGAACAUGGCAUGUCUCUUUUUCCUUUUUCUUAUUGUCCUUCACAGUGGCUCCUAUUUCAAGCCCUAACCUCAGAGGCACAAGUUGGCUGCAGCAACUCCAGGCUUCACAUUCCCUCAGCUUCAAGUCCUCAGGAGAAAAUGUCCCACUCAUGGCCUACUGCAUCUCAUUGAUACUGAUGACUUCCUACUCUGGAAGAUGGGGUUUUAGCAUUCUUACGCCUCCCCUGACCUGGUGGGCUGAAUACUGCACCCCCCCCAAAUGUCCCUGCCCUAACCCCCCAAGCCUGUGAAUGUUACCUUAUAUGGCAAAAGAGACUUAGCAGAUGUGAUUAAAGUUAAGAACCUGGAAAUGAGAUUAUCCUGGAUUAUCUGGGCGGGCUCGAUCAAUCACGAGUCCUUAAAAGUGAAAGGCAGUAGAGCAGGUCGGAGACGUGACAAGGGAAGAUGAGGCAGGAGAAGGUGGAAGCCCCGUUGCUGGCUGUGAAGGUGGACGAAGGGGGCCACGGGUCGAGGAAUGUGGGUGCCUCCAGAAGACGACCAGCCCUCCGCUGACGGCCAGCAAGGAAAUGGGAACUUCAGUCCUCCCCACGGCAGGAAACCGAAUUCUGCCAACAACCUCAGUGGGCAAGGCGAUGGAUUCUCCCUGGAGCCCCCGGAAGGCAUGCAGCUCUGCCCACACCUUGACUUUCGCCCAGCGAGACCCACGUCUGACUUAGGACCCACAAGUGUUAAGAUAAGAAAUUUCUGGGGAAUACCCUGAUUAGGGCUCUGCGCUUUUACUGCUGAGGGUGCGGAUUCAGUCCCUGGUCGGGGAACUAAGAUCCCACAAGGUGCUCAGCGCGGCCAAAAAAAAAAAAAAAAAAGAUAAUAAA